GUGUGCUUCACACCUGCCUGGACACUCUGCUGCAGGGCCCCGUUGUGGCGAAACUGCAGUUCCAUCCACCGCCAUUUCUUUUUUCUUUUUUUUUCUCGGUAUAAACGAUAUGGCCAAAUCUCUCCCGUAGACACUUUCGUAUCGUCCACGGUAUGAUAUCGUCAUAUCGCCCACCCCUAGUAGGUAGCAUAUACGAGAUAGAGACAGAGAUAGAGAUGGAGAGCGAUAUAGUAAGCGAGAUAGAGAGAGAGAUGGAGUGCGUUAGAAAGAGUUAAGAGAUAGAGCGUUAGAUAGUGUUAGAUAGAAUUAGAUAGAGAGCGAGAGAUAGAGAGAUAGAGUUAGAUAUAGUAGAGAGCGAGAGAUAGUUAGAUAGAGAGCGAGAGAUAGAGUUAGAUAUAGUAGAGAGCGAGUGAUAGAGUUAGAUAGAGAGCGAGAGAUAGUUAGAUAUAGUAGCGAGCGAGUGAUAGAGUUAGAUAGAGAGCGAGAGAUAGUUAGAUAUAGUAGAGAGCGAGUGAUAGAGUUAGAUAUAGGCCUAGUAGAGAGCGAGAGAUAGAGUUGGAUAGAGAGCGAGAGAUAGAGUUAGAUAGAGAGAGAGAAUGGAUCCGAUCCUUAUCAAGGAACUUAUUGACUUCAAAGUCAAUAAUCGUUACCCUGAUAUUGCACCGAAGAGUCAGAGGUUCAUCAUUAAACGAAGAGCCUCCCACUUCGUGCUCCAGGAUGGAGACCUAUUCUACAUCUGUAGAAGGAGGCAGGGGAGGGAGCAUUUGGCCAAAGUCGUUUGCUUGGCGGCCGCGGCCAACCUCAUAUUUGAGGAAAUGCACUGUUGCCGUGUUGGUGGUCACUGCGGUGUCGAGAAGACCCACAAUGCAGUGAUCAGCCGAUACUACUGGCCUGGCAUGGAGGCGGACAUUGGCAAAUGGGUAAGUUAGAAUCGUCCCCCCAAUUUACUUUGUUUAUUUAAAAAUGAUGGCCUAAAUUAGGCCUUGCGGCCUCAUAUUACCUCAUAUGUAGCUACCAACGUAAUUGGUGUUCCGGCGCCAGGUGCGACGGAACCUAUGUAGCUACCAAUGUAAUUGGUAGCUACCAAUUACAUUGGCAUGAGGUAAUAUGAGGCUGCGAGGCCAAGGGCCA
rnacentral:lncRNA from 1 species